rnacentral:rRNA from 1 species
UACGUAGGGUGCAAGCGUUGUCCGGAAUUAUUGGGCGUAAAGAGCUCGUAGGCGGUUUGUUGCGUCGGCUGUGAAAUCCCCGGGCUCAACCUGGGAAUGGCGAUGGAUACUGGGCAGCUAGAGUGUGUCAGAGGAUGGUGGAAUUCCCGGUGUAGCGGUGAAAUGCGUAGAGAUCCGGAAGAACACCGGUGGCGAAGGCGGCCUGCUGGGCUAUGGCUGACACUGAGGCGCGACAGCGUGGGGAGCAAACAGG